rnacentral:lncRNA from 1 species
GGAAAAGCCACCGAGAGGCCUGACCCUGAGGGGUCGGGGGGAGAUGCGGGCGCGUAGUAGAGGGAAGCGACUGAGGAGCGGGGACUGGGCAGCAUUUGAAUGGAUGCGGGUGCCGCUGGCACCCGGGAAGACGCCCGGGAGCCGGCGCUGGGGAGCCGGGCAUGGGCUGGGAUGUGUUUGGAUUCCAAUCUGGGCCUGACACCAGUUCAGUGACCUCGGGAAGUUCCCCAACCCUGCGGGCCUGUUUCCUCCCUCUGAAGUGGCGACAGUAGUAGAACCGACCUCGUAGGCUCAUCGGGAGGUCCUGAUGGGAGAACCCAUGCAACUUGCCGCCACAGAGCCAGGCCCGCGGCGAUUGGCUCCUGGUGGGUAUUAAAGACGAGUCGGGAAAGAAGAGCAGGGUUGCCUACUGAGGAAGCUUUUCACAGCAGGUGAUGAGACCUUCAGCAGGCUCAAUCAAACCUUCAAUGGCCCCGAAAGACAUCUUGAUUGAAACCUCAUGAGAGACUCUGAGCCAGAAAACCCAGCAACUUAGAACCCAGAUACCUGACCAUCAGCCACUGUGUGAAAUAAUAAAUGUUUGUUGUUUUAA